AUACGGAGUGUGCAAGCGUUAUUCGGAAUCACUGGGCGUAAAGGACGCGUAGGCGGGUUGGCAAGUCAGAUGUGAAAUCCUACAGCUUAACUGUAGAACUGCAUUUGAAACUGCUAACCUAGAGUAUGGGAGGGGGAGAUGGAAUUAGUGGUGUAGGGGUAAAAUCCGUAGAUAUCACUAGGAAUACCGAAAGCGAAGGCGAUCUCCUGGAACAUAACUGACGCUAAGGCGUGAAGGCGUGGGGAGCAAACAGGAUUAGAUACCCGAGUAGUCC
rnacentral:rRNA from 1 species